rnacentral:rRNA from 1 species
AUUGAACGCUGGCGGCAGGCCUAACACAUGCAAGUCGAGCGGAUGACGGGAGCUUGCUCCUUGAUUCAGCGGCGGACGGGUGAGUAAUGCCUAGGAAUCUGCCUGGUAGUGGGGGACAACGUUUCGAAAGGAACGCUAAUACCGCAUACGUCCUACGGGAGAAAGCAGGGGACCUUCGGGCCUUGCGCUAUCAGAUGAGCCUAGGUCGGAUUAGCUAGUUGGUGAGGUAAUGGCUCACCAAGGCGACGAUCCGUAACUGGUCUGAGAGGAUGAUCAGUCACACUGGAACUGAGAGACGGUCCAGACUCCUGCGGGAGGCAGCAGUGGGGAAUAUUGGACAAUGGGCGAAAGCCUGAUCCAGCCAUGCCGCGUGUGUGAAGAAGGUCUUCGGAUUGUAAAGCACUUUAAGUUGGGAGGAAGGGCAGUAAGUUAAUACCUUGCUGUUUUGACGUUACCGACAGAAUAAGCACCGGCUAACUCUGUGCCAGCCGCCGCGGUAACAC